GCGGAUAUGGCGGAACUGGUAGACGCAACAGACUUAAAAUCUGUUGGGACUUGCUCCCGUGCCGGUUCGAUUCCGGCUUUCCGCACCA
rnacentral:tRNA from 1 species